UACGUAAAAUGCAAGCGUUAAUCGGAAUUACUAAACGUAAAGCGUGCGCAGGCGGUUCUAUAAGACAGAUGUGAAAUCCCCGGACUCAACCUGGGAACUGCAUUUGUGACUGUAGAGCUAGAGUACGGUAGAAAAAGAUAGAAUUCCGCGUGUAGCAGUGAAAUGCGUAGAUAUGCAGAGGAACACCGAUGGCGAAGGCAAUCCCCUGGACCUGUACUGACGCUCAUGCACGAAAGCGGGGGAGCAAACAGG
rnacentral:rRNA from 1 species